rnacentral:rRNA from 1 species
GACGAACGCGGCGGCGUGCCUAAUACAUGCAAGUAGAACGCUGAAGGAGGAGCUUGCUUCUCUGGAUGAGUUGCGAACGGGUGAGUAACGCGUAGGUAACCUGCCUGGUAGCGGGGGAUAACUAUUGGAAACGAUAGCUAAUACCGCAUAAUAGCAGUUAUUGCAUGAUAACUGUUUGAAAGGUGCAAUUGCACCACUACCAGAUGGACCUGCGUUGUAUUAGCUAGUUGGUGGGGUAACGGCUCACCAAGGCGACGAUACAUAGCCGACCUGAGAGGGUGAUCGGCCACACUGGGACUGAGACACGGCCCAGACUCCUACGGGAGGCAGCAGUAGGGAAUCUUCGGCAAUGGACGGAAGUCUGACCGAGCAACGCCGCGUGAGUGAAGAAGGUUUUCGGAUCGUAAAGCUCUGUUGUAAGAGAAGAAACGAGUGUGAGAAGUGGAAAGUUUCAACAACUG